CCGGGCAGAUGGGCGCGCCCCUCUUGUGCAGGCGGGGCCUUCCCACGCCUCGCAGCCGCCUCCGCCGUUUUGGAGCGGGAACCCAGGCGAGCCCGCCCACCCCUCUGAUGGGUUCGACCGAGCUUGAGCCAACGCGGCGGCGCGGGCCCUUGCGGGUGGGGAGGACCCGCCUGGGUCUCACACCUGCCGGCCGGGCGGCCCCGCGUCCUGGCGCCCCGGCAGCAGGCGCGGCGGGACCGGGCGCGAUGCCUGGUUUCUCCGGAGCCGCUACAAAAGGAAACUUUAAAACUUAGAUGUCCAGCGGCGCCAGACCUCCCCGAGCCUGGGCAGAGCCGGCUCCCCUCUGCUCCACCCCAGCCGGGCCGGAGGGGGCAGCCCCGGGCAGCCGCAGGAGGACGCGGAGCGGGCCCCAGAGUGCCCACGGCCCACUUUUCCCCCGACAGCCUCCGUCUCGGGAGAGGCCCACACGCCCUGCCCGCCACGGGGACAGCGGAGGCCCGGGGCGCCCGCGUCCUCGGAGCUCGCUGCCGGGAAGGCUUUUGCCCUCUGCGGGCCUCAGGUUUGGUGGCUCCCUUCCGGCUCCAGUGGAACCUGCCCUUGCAGAGCCCUGAACACACAGCAUGGCUUCAGACAGCCUCACCUUGUACCUGCUACCGGCUCUCCUUGGACUGUCACUCUACCCACCCCUACUCCACGAUUGCGUGAUAAACCCCUAUUCAGCCUUCAGAGCCCGCUUUACAGAGUCCCACUGUGUAGUCCAGGCUGGCCACAGACUAGAGGCGCUCCUCCUGCUUCUCUGAGGCUUCGAUCACAGACCCUGGGGAGAGGUGUGACAUCAACACCAGACAGAAGGUAAAAAUUGGAGAACCAUCUUGAUACCAGACAGCAAAGAGGACUCCGAGGCACCAGAGCCAACAUGGAGAGGUUUGUCAUCUAUAUGCCACCUUCCUGGUCCCUUCAGCUGGACUCAAAGUAGGGUGCUCUCCGUCCUUCACCAAAUCAUACCUAAGAGCAUCCCAUCCCUGUGAG
rnacentral:lncRNA from 1 species